CCUAAAGCCAUUUCCAGCUGCUCUUCCUCCCAAGGCCAGCUCGCCCACCCAGGAAAGUGAGGUUCUCUCAGGACCGGAGGAAGAAAGCGCGGAUCCCACAGAGGGCGGCCCCCAAGGACCCCCACAGGCACCCAAGAAUGUGAUAAAUAUUCAAGCACACCUCUGGCAUCCCACCCUCCCCACUAGGAGACUGGAGCCAAGAGCCAGGCAUACCUUCUUCCUCUAUUCCUGCAAAAUAAAGUUUGUGGGAAGCAGAAACCUGCUUCUCUAAGUAAACAAGUCACCUACACUCUGAAAUAAUAUUUCUGUUUCUGGGGAGGGAGACGGCCAGGCCAGGGUGGAUCUCUGCACCAGGUGGGCCACUGCUCUGCCAUUCAACAGCACCUCUGAGCUGAGAAGGAUGAACCUUGCAGUGAAGGAGCGUUUCUUCCAUUGGUCUUCUCUGGCCUGCCGCCAGCCUCCUCAGCAGCGGCAGACAGUGCAAGAGUGAUGGCAACGUGACUGGAACACAAAGAGUUGCUACCAAGCACACGAAAGCUCCUGUAAGCCUGUG